rnacentral:rRNA from 1 species
AACGAACGCUGGCGGCAUGCUUAACACAUGCAAGUCGAACGCGAAAGUUUUCUCUUGAGAAGACGAGUAGAGUGGCGCACGGGUGAGUAACGCGUAAAUAAUCUACCCCUGCAUCUGGGAUAACCCACCGAAAGGUGAGCUAAUACCGGAUAUGUUCUUUUAGCCGCGAGGUUUUAAGAAGAAAGGUGGCCUCUGAUAUAAGCUACUGUGCGGGGAGGAGUUUGCGUACCAUUAGCUAGUUGGUAGGGUAAUGGCCUACCAAGGCAUCGAUGGUUAGCGGGUCUGAGAGGAUGAUCCGCCACACUGGAACUGGAACACGGACCAGACUCCUACGGGAGGCAGCAGUGAGGAAUAUUGCGCAAUGGGGGCAACCCUGACGCAGCGACGCCGCGUGGAUGAUGAAGGCCUUCGGGUCGUAAAAUCCUGUCAGAUGGAAAGAAGUGUUAUAUGGAUAAUACCUGUAUAGCUUGACGGUACCAUCAAAGGAAGCACCGGCUAACUCCGUGCCAGCAGCCGCGGUAAUACGGAGGGUGCAAGCGUUGUUCGGAAUUACUGGGCGUAAAGCGCGCGUAGGUGGUCUGUUAUGUCAGAUAUGAAAGUCCACGGCUCAACCGUGGAAGUGCAUUUGAAACUGGCAGACUUGAGUACUGGAGGGGGUAGUGGAAUUCCCGGUGUAGAGGUGAAAUUCGUAGAUAUCGGGAGGAAUACCGGUGGCGAAGGCGACUACCUGGCCAGAUACUGACACUGAGGUGCGAAAGCGUGGGGAGCAAACAGGAUUAGAUACCCCUGGUAGUCCACGCCGUAAACGAUGUCAACUAAGGUGUUGGGAUGGUUAAUCGUCUCAUUGCCGGAGCUAACGCAUUAAGUUGACCGCCUGGGGAGUACGGUCGCAAGAUUAAAACUCAAAGGAAUUGACGG